rnacentral:tRNA from 1 species
CAUAGCUCAGCCGGUAGAGCAACUGACUUUUAAUCAGUAGGUCGAUGGUUCGAAUCCAUCUGG